rfam:Triticum aestivum genome assembly, contig: Triticum_aestivum_CS42_TGACv1_scaffold_129890_2BL
CACAUACUUCCUCCGUCCGGAAAUACUUGUCAUCAAAAUGAAUAAAAGGUCAUGUAUUUAGAUAUGUAUUAGUUUAGAUACAUUCCUUUUUAUUUAUUUUGAUGACAAGUAUUUUGGGACGAAGUGAGUAUGUU